rnacentral:rRNA from 1 species
GACGAACGCUGGCGGCGUGCCUAAUACAUGCAAGUAGAACGCUGAAGAGAGGAGCUUGCUCUUCUUGGAUGAGUUGCGAACGGGUGAGUAACGCGUAGGUAACCUGCCUUGUAGCGGGGGAUAACUAUUGGAAACGAUAGCUAAUACCGCAUAACAAUGGAUGACACAUGUCAUUUAUUUGAAAGGGGCAAUUGCUCCACUACAAGAUGGACCUGCGUUGUAUUAGCUAGUAGGUGAGGUAAUGGCUCACCUAGGCGACGAUACAUAGCCGACCUGAGAGGGUGGGCGGCCACACUGGGACUGAGACACGGCCCAGACUCCUACGGGAGGCAGCAGUAGGGCAUCUUCGGCCAUGGGGGCAAACCUGACCGAGCAACGCCGAGGGAGUGAAGAAGGUUUUCGGAUCGUAAAGCUCUGUUGUAAGUCAAGAACGGGUGUGAGAGUGGAAAGUUCACACUGUGACGGUAGCUUACCAGAAAGGGACGGCUAACUACGUG